rnacentral:rRNA from 1 species
UGGGGAAUCUUGGACAAUGGGGGCAACCCUGAUCCAGCGGCGCCGCGUGGGUGGUAAGGCCUUCGGGUUGUAAAGCCCUUUCAGCGGGGAAGAUGAUGACAUUACCCGCAGAAGAAGCGCCGGCUAACUCCGUGCCAGCAGCCGCGGUAAGACGGAGGGCGCUAGCGUUGUUCGGAAUCACUGGGCGUAAAGGGCGCGUAGGCGGCUGCUUAAGUCGAGGGUGAAAGCCCGGGGCUCAACCUCGGAACGGCCUUCGAGACUGGGCGGCUAGAGACCGGAAGAGGAGGGUGGAAUACCCAGUGUCCAAGAUUCCCCACUGCAGCCACCCGUAG